rnacentral:rRNA from 1 species
GACGAACGCUGGCGGCGUGCUUAACACAUGCAAGUCGAACGAAGAGCGAUGGAAGCUUGCUUCUAUCAAUCUUAGUGGCGCACGGGUGAGUAACGCGUAAUCAACCUGCCCUUCAGAGGGGGACAACAGUUGGAAACGACUGCUAAUACCGCAUACGAUCUAAUCUCGGCAUCGAGGAUAGAUGAAAGGUGGCCUCUACAUGUAAGCUAUCACUGAAGGAGGGGAUUGCGUCUGAUUAGCUAGUUGGAGGGGUAACGGCCCACCAAGGCGAUGAUCAGUAGCCGGUCUGAGAGGAUGAACGGCCACAUUGGGACUGAGACACGGCCCAGACUCCUACGGGAGGCAGCAGUGGGGAAUCUUCCGCAAUGGACGAAAGUCUGACGGAGCAACGCCGCGUGAGCGAUGACGGCCUUCGGGUUGUAAAGCUCUGUUAAUCGGGACGAAAGGCCUUCUUGCGAAUAGGGAGAAGGAUUGACGGUACCGGAAUAGAAAGCCACGGCUAACUACGUG